CUGUAACUAUAUAUACUGAAGAGGAAGACAGACAGAAACGGACAGAAGCAGAAAUGUCUGAUCAGUGUGAUCUGUGUCUGCUGGGACUGAUCAUUCUCUCUUCACUUCUCACAGGCACCAGUGGAGUGGAUCAUGUGUUCAUCAGUUCUGGUGUAGAUGUCCGUCUGUCCUGUAAUAAAACUCUUUCUGACUGCAAAUCAACAUCAUGGAUCUAUUAUAACAGAUUCAGACAUUCAGUAGCAGAUGAACUGAUUAAUUUAGGGAUAAAGAAUGAAGACACAGAGAGACAUGAGAGACUGAGUCUGGAGUCUGACUGCUCUUUGAACAUCAAGAACGUCACAGAAGAAGAUUAUGGAUCUUACAGCUGCAGACAAUAUGUGAACGGCAGACAACAAGGUCCUGAUACACAUGUUUAUCUGCAUGUUCUUCAUGUUUCAGUGUCUCCAUCAUCAUCAUCAUCAUCAUCAUCAUCAUCCUCACAGACUGAGAUCAGUCCAGGCCGCUCUGUGACUCUCUCCUGUCAGUUAUAUUCAUAUACUGGAUACUCCUGUGAUGAUUGGGUUCGUUAUGAUGGAGUUGAGCUGUUGUGGGUGAAUCAGGCUGGUGUUGAUCUGAAGACAGACUCCAGAUAUCAGAUAUCAUCAUUAUCACCAUCAUCAUCAUCAUCAUCAUCAUCAGAUCGCUAUAACAUCAUCACUCUGACUACAACACUCCUGAAUGAAGAUAACAACAGAGAGUGGAGAUGUCAGGUUACUCUCAGAAAUCAACUCCAGGCCUCAGUCACAUACACUGUCAAGUAUUCAGGUGAUGUGUGUGAACAUUCAUCUUCUGCAGCUCCAGUCUCUUCAACAACACUGACUCCAGUCAGCAGAUCAAACUCUGAGAAGACAUCAAGCAGAACUACAGCAACAGCUCCUACACAAGUUGUGACUUCAACUACAUCAACUACAGUAACAACACGUCCCACAACAACCUCUCCGAAUCCAGGUGUGUAUGAACAUCAUCCUCAUCAUCCAGAGAAUCAGUUUCUGAUCACACAUCAUCACUCUCGCUUCAGUGGUUUGAUCACACCACAGUAAAAUCAGCCGGAUAAUUACAUCAAUUCAGUAUUGAAACCUCAAAGGAUAUAUUGUGUUCAUGCAUUAAAAUAUGACAUAUUUCUAUUUCCAUCUUGUUUUCUAAUAGUUGUGACUACAACUACAUCUACUACAGUAACAACACGUCCCACAGUAACUGCUGGAUUAUUAUACAGAGUGAUUGUGAGUAUUGUUGAGAUGGCAGUGUUUGCUGCUCCUACUGUGAUUCUUCUUCAGAUCAUCUGUGCAAGAAGAGCUGGGAGGAAGGAUUCGAGACACCCGGAGGAAAUAGAGAUGCCUGCAAUACAACAAUAAAAACUGAUAAAAAACUCUUCCUCCAUUUCUCCACGUCUGUCGCCAUGGUUACUGUGGUUGUCUGAGCAGAAACUGAGGGUAACGUGGAUAUGACGCCAUUGACUGGAAACUCCCUCAGCCCUGCUCACACGCCCCGUUUCCUUGGUUACCAUCGCAAUUUUCUCGUUUUUG